GUCACGGUGGUCUAGCGGUCAGAACGCUGGCCUUGUAGUCCUGGGGUCUCGGGUUCGAUUCCCGGCCGUGCCC
rfam:Zootermopsis nevadensis contig4670, whole genome shotgun sequence.